UGAAAGCGGGGGAGGGGUGGGGCGGGAAUGCGGAGUGUGGAUUGUGUCUGCGGAUUAGCUGGGUUCUAAGGGUGCGGAGGCGUAUUUGUAAGUCAGUGGUGAAAUCUCCAGGCUGAACCUGGAAACUGCCGUGGAUACUAUAAAUCUUGAAUGUUGUGGAGGUUAGCGGAAUAUGUCAUGUAGCGGUGAAAUGCAUAGAUAUGACAUAGAACACCAAUUGCGAAGGCAGCUGGCUACACAAAUAUUGACGUUGAGGCACGAAAGCGUGGGGAUCAAACAGGAUUAGAUACCCGUGUAGUC
rnacentral:rRNA from 1 species